GAUGAACGCUGGCGGCGUGCCUAAUACAUGCAAGUCGAGCGAAUGAUGAGGAGCUUGCUCCUCUGAUUUAGCGGCGGACGGGUGAGUAACACGUGGGUAAUCUGCCUGUAAGACGGGGAUAACUCCGGGAAACCGGGGCUAAUACCGGAUAACAAGAGAAGAAGCAUUUCUUCUUUUUGAAAGUCGGUUUUGGCUGACACUUACAGCUGAGCCCGCGGCGCAUUAGCUAGUUGGUGAGGUAACGGCUCACCAAGGCGACGAUGCGUAGCCGACCUGAGAGGGUGAUCGGCCACACUGGGACUGAGACACGGCCCAGACUCCUACGGGGGGCAGCAGUAGGGAAUCUUCGGCAAUGGGCGAAAGCCUGACCGAGCAACGCCGCGUGAGCGAUGAAGGCCUUCGGGUCGUAUAGCUCUGUUGUUAGAGAAGAACAAGUACGAGAGUAACUGCUCGUACCUUGACGGUACCUAACCAGAAAGCCACGGCUAACUACGUGCCAGCAGCCGCGGUAA
rnacentral:rRNA from 1 species